AUAGAAGACAGCCUCGGUUAAUUUCCAUCUGUGAAGGUCAAGGUCAACUGUGCCCGAAAACCGAAGCUUCAAGUUGUGAAAUUUUACCAAGACUUCAAACCAUCUUCAAUUGCGAUCUGAACUCCUCACCUUUUCAUCACCUUUGACCCUCAUAACUCAAGGUCGCAAUUCUUCAUCGAUGAUACCUAAAUGUUUGGUCCUUGUGUUUGAAUGUAACAGUUUGCCAUGUCUUCAUGUGAUAUUCAUCUUCAUUUGCUUAACGUGUCUUCCAAUGAAAUGUUUGUAUUACAGAGAAACUGAAGUUAUUCUUCUUGUGUAUCUGGCUCAAUUGACAGAGGCCUCUAUUCAAGUCUCCUCCCUGUUCAUAUCGCUGGAUAUUCUGAAUUAGUGUGGAUUGAAGAUAAUGGAGAGUGACAAUCAAAAUAUUGUUGAUGCUUCUGAGGACAUUAUAUGGGCAGUAUUGGGACAGGUGGUUGUUUCAAGUGUACACAUAGUAUUCGGAUUUGCUCACAAUGUGGUUGGCCCUCCGGGUAGUGUGUUAGCUUGCCAUGUAGUAGUACUGGUUUGAUUCCAGCAUGAGCUAAUCAGUGUGAAGGUCAUACUUUCAAUUGUCCCCUUAUUACCAGAAUUUAGCUGUAUUGACACAUAAUUUCACAAAUUUGCAGCUACAUAGUAAGCCAUGUUGUUGCUUGAUGUGUGGCUGGUAAGUCUGCUGUUUGACAUUGUGUUGAGCAGGACAGUGUUCCCAAAAAGAAAUUUAGAAUUUUUUGACACUCAUGACUCGUGCAUGUUAACUUGGGAUUAUAACAGUCAUAACUCCCACAUGUUAACUUGGGAUUAUAACAGUCAUAACUCCCACAUGUUAAAUUGGGAUUGUGACAGUCAUAACUCCCACAUAUUAAAUUGGGAUCAUAACAGUGACAAUCAUAACUGCCACGUGUUAACUUGAGAUUAUGACAGUCAUAACUCUCACAUGUUAACUUGGGAUUAUAACAGUCAUAUCUCCCACAUGUUAACUUGGGUUUAUCACAGUCAUAACUCUCAUAUGUUAGGAUUAUAACAGUCAUAUAUCCCACAUGUUAACUUGGGUUUAUCACAGUCAUAACUCUCAUAUGUUAGGAUUAUAACAGUCAUAUCUCCCACAUGUUAACUUGGGUUUAUCACAGUCAUAACUCUCAUAUGUUAGGAUUAUAACAGUCAUAUAUCCCACAUGUUAACUUGGGUUUAUCACAGUCAUAACUCUCUUAUGUUUGGAUUAUAACAGUCAUAUCUCCCACAUGUUAACUUGGGAUUAUAACAGUCAAGGGGAUAUGAUUUUCUCUCUGGAAUAACGCCUCGGAUGCCAUUUCACAUAAGCAGUUGUAGCACAACAAGUACCAGACUCUUUUACUUUAACAUUAACUUAAAGCAGACCUAACACUAUGAUUACUUUAUGAAAUGGGGCCCUUAUGUUCAAAUCACCUUGAAACACCAGCCGAUAUCUCUUAUCAUAGUCUCGUUAAUUCCAUUUGAUUCACAGCUGUUCUCAAGGAAUUACUUAAAUUUUUUGAAGCAAUGUUAUUGUUUGCUCUAAAAGAACACCUCGCCUCUGUCGAUUGGUUGCCUUGUGGUGUCCCCAUCUUGUGACCUCAUUUACAUAUUACCCAGCAGGCAUGUCUCUGUGCCACAAAGUGCAAUUUUCCGUGUCAAUUUUUUUUUUUUUCCAUUUCUUUUACGUGUUUAUUAUGCAUGGUUGUUAAGUAUAAAUGGUAAUAGGUUAGUUCCUAUAUGCUUUUAUAAUGGAACAGUUAUCUGGACUACACAUAAGAUCAGAAGGCUGCAUAUUGGUAAAUAUCCAUGAUUAGGGCUGGAAGUCAUAUGAGUGAAACUAUUACCAUGGAUAAAUAUAUUUCUUAUUCAUCAGUAUCCAUAUCAACCAAUGUGAGUUUAUGGUAUUUUUACAUUGGGUAUAUGCUCCUCAACAUUAAUUAAGGUCGGAAUUAUUCAUAUUAAAAGUUUGUUGUUAGCAAACGUUGGUAUGACAAUUUUGUAACCAGAUGGAUUGACUAAUUCUGAUCCAUAAUCAGGGGUUGAUGGACAAGUUUGUGUAGCCCCUUACCAUGGAUACUCAUCAGUUUUGGUCUUAUAUAAGUGUAGGAACAUGCGGUAUGUCUGACAUAACUCUGCUGCUGUGUUUGCCAUGUGUACUCAACUGUCAAAUAUGUUCUUAGUGCUUGAAAAUCCAUGAAUAUUUGUAAAGAAGGUCAGAAUCUGGAGGGCUUUGUAAUAACAAUUAAAUCAUUUCAAUUACAAAGCCAACAUUUUUCCAGUGUAUUUUGGUUGAAAAGAAUUAAAAGUAAUUAAAAUUCUAUAAAAAUUAAAUUAAAUUGAAGUUGAAGGGUACAACACAUGGAAUCUGUCCUUAAAAGUGUUAUCACAUUUAUUUCUUCAAGAUUUUGAAAAUUAAUAAAUUCAGAUUCUACAAUUUGGGUACAUUAUUUGAAAUAUAAGCUAAGUUUCAUUAAUAUAAAACAAAUUUUCUCCACAUUCUGCCUUCUAGCAUCGACAUGGUCUCCACAAUGUGAUAAACUCAAGCAACAAGUUCCUAAACUUGCUUUUUUUUCCAUGUGUAGCUAUUUAUGUUUUAUUUUUUAUAGCUUUUAUUUGUGUGUUUUACGAAGCAAGUCGCCACCCAAACCUCUCGUAAUUCCCCAUCUGUAUACAAUGUAUUUUAUAAAUAUGUACAUAGACGUCUAGAUUUACUGAGUUAUUGUACAUUUGUAUGUAUUCACAACAUUUCACCUUUAGAAAAAGUAGCGCUUACAUAAUCCAGGACUAUUGAUGUAGUGUGCGUGUUGCUGGCUUUAAAACCUCGCUGUCGUAGUUUCCAUGGUAACCGCUCGACCAUUUCACCUCCAUAGUCAUCAAUCAUGAAUACGAUUUCAUAAUGUGCAAUGUGAAGUAUCUGUUGUCGGUUUCCAUCAAUCAUGUCAAUUUGAUGCAGAAGUUAGAUUGGUAUAGGCUUGCAUGAAAUCUAUCACACAUAUACACUAAAACAUGCAUUUAUAUAAACAAACACAUAGUUUUUACAACAUGAAGCUGUUGUGAAAAUCUGAUACGGCAAAAGAAUUGGCAAUAACCUGACUGUUUAUUGUGAUUUUAUGUUGUCAUAAGUGGUUACGGAUUGAUCGGCAUGUUUUAAACAUACACAGAAAUUCAAAGAAUUGUUUGCUGGUAAACUACUCUAGAUGUUUGAAUGUCAAGACUAUUUUGGCUUGUGAUGAUAACUGUUGUUAUUGAUGAUUGCAGAUAAGCAUCAUAGAUCGUGUAGAAAAAACUCCACAUCUCAUUGUCAAUGUUCCCCUCUUCAUAAGAUCCAAAUAUAAUUUUACGCAAACUCCAACACAGACAGUUUCAUUAAUGAGGAAUAAUGAUUGAAAAACAACUCUGUCUACGAUAUCCCACUGUCAACUUUCAUUUCUACGUAACAUGUUUUUUUCUUGUUGCAAACAAACCCAUUUUUAUUACCAUUUAUUAUGGACCAUUGACAAGAUUUGCCUAAAAGGCCAAUAAAAUUGUUGCUUUGAAUUAUUUGUGAUGCCCAAAGUUUUUUUAUUUGGCAAUUGAGAACACCGCGUCAAACGCGUUACAUGGGGACCAUCUCAAAACCAGUUUAUUCCUGACAUCAUGAUAGACUUUUAAUAGCUCAGGCCAAGAUAGUGCUCAAAAUUUGUACAUUGCUCAUCAAUCAUCGGUUCAGUUUAAUAUAUAUUUUUUUUUAUUGGUAUGUAGACAUGUAAAUAUAUAUCACCUGUGAGCUUUGCAACUGUUAUUCAUAACACAUAAUGCAUUUCUUUGAGGUAAGGCUUGUACACAUACUUGCCAUGUGAUAGACAAAUAUAUCCUAGUCUUGGUGGGUGUUCUCUCAAAAGUGAUAUAGGGCACUUGUUGGUUCCUUUAGAAUUGGUGCUAAAUUUCUGUCACAAUGCAUGCACUUUCAUGCACAUACACACCUGCGCACACAUGCAUGCACACACAUGUACACACACCUAGUAUUGUAACAAUGGAUAGAAACAUUUGUCAGCUUCACAAAUUGUGCCUUUUGGUUGGUUUACAAAACAAAUAACAAAAGCUUCUGAAAGAAAGUUUGAAAACAUAAAAUGAAGUUUAACAAAACAUAUCAACCUCUACCUUAUAUUUACAAGCUGCUAAAAAUGUCUUAGAGAAAUAAACAACUCACACGAUUGACAUGCUAAAUAUUCCAAAUAUUUCAUGGUACGAAAAGAUAUUCUACUGACUAAAUUGUGCUUUUCCUUUAUUUCUCAUUCCUCAACAGUAGGUUAAUUUGGAAAUUGACAUUUAAGAAACAUUUGGGGCCAAGCUUAAAUCAGAUGCUACAAAAUUAAAAGGCUUCACCAAGAUGCCAAAGUCGUUGCUCAGCAUCCUACUUUGAACUAUGGAGUUGGAGUGGUGAGCUGCCUGUCAGUUAUUUAUUCCGUGUCCAGGCCUAAGCGCAUGGUUAACAGUGUUUAAAGGCACAUUGUUUUACUUGAUCUGUCACUUCUUUAACUCUCUCAUCGGAGAGGUUACUAAAGGGAAAUCAGUCAGCUGAACAUCAGAAAUAAGACCUUUUUGUGAUAGACAAUGGACGCAACAAGACCUUUUGGUGUUUGAUUUACAGAUUUCUGAAUGAUAAUUCCUUUUCAAUUAAAAAAAUAAUUGUACACCGAUUCCAAAGAAGCCUGAUCUGUUCAUAAUAAGAAUAGAAGUCUACUGAUGAAGUACAGUGUGUCUUUAACAUUGGUGUACAUUUGUCAGGGACUGUAUCAUUUCCUUGGUAGUUGUAUUUACAGACUGUCCAGUCACAUUGUUUUGUCAGUCUUUAUUUUCCUCGAUGAUCCCGUGUGCUUGUCUGAGGGGCAUGUUUGAAAAGGGCAAGUCCGACUGUAUUGUACUUAAGCACUGCCAAAACAAGGGUAUUUCUUUCUGCGACGGUGUCCAGCAUAGUAGGUUAAAUGCUGAACCUUUUGAGAAGUGACACGUUGAUGUAGUUGCUGGUAGGAAUGCUACUUUCUUAACUGUUUUAGGAUGAAAUUUUUAAAGAAAUAUUUUGAAUGGCGUAGAUCAGUAAGUCUUCCAGAUUUGACAAUUGUCUCUGAUAAUCCUGAAGAUUACAUUUUAUUGCUGAAUUAAUGGAUGGAAUAUUAGUAUGAAUUUUGCCUUCUUCAGUGAUCUGGGGCGGUGGGGUAGCCUAGUGGUUAAAGCGUUGGCUCGUCACGCCGAAGACCCUUGUUCAAAUCUCCACAUGGGUACAAUGUGUGAAGCCCAUUUCUGGUGUUCCCCCGCCAUGAUGUAGCUGGAAUAUUGCUAAAAGCGGCGUAAAACUACACUCAGUCAGUCAGUCUUCAGUGAUCUAAUUCUCAGGCUAAAUUGAACAUGGUUAAGGAAGUUUGGGACAACUGGAUGCCAAGCAUUUUCUAACAAAGAUUUUCAGUUUCAUC